rnacentral:rRNA from 1 species
UCGGACGGGUGAGUAACGCGUGAGAAUCAGGCUCUAGGUUUGGGACAACCWCUGGWAACGGUGGCUAAUACCGGAUAUGCCGAAAGGUGAAAGGUUAACUGCCUGGAGAYGAGCUCGCGUCUGAUUAGCUAGUUGGUAGGGUAAGAGCUUACCAAGGCGACGAUCAGUAGCUGGUCUGAGAGGACGAUCAGCCACMCUGGGACUGAGACACGGCCCAGACUCCUACGGGAGGCAGCAGUGGGGAAUUUUCCGCAAUGGGCGAAAGCCUGACGGAGCAAUACCGCGUGAGGGAGGAAGGCUCUUGGGUUGUAAACCUCUUUUCUCAGGGAAGAAUAAUGACGGUACUUGAGGAAUAAGCAUCGGCUAACUCCGUGCCAGCAGCCGCGGUAAUACGGAGGAUGCAAGCGUUAUCCGGAAUGAUUGGGCGUAAAGCGUUCGCAGGUGGCAUUGAAAGUCUGCUGUCAAAGAGUCUGGCUUAACCAGAUACAGGCAGUGGAAACUACAAAGCUAGAGUGCGGUAGGGGCAGAGGGAAUUCCUGGUGUAGCGGUGAAAUGCGUAGAGUUCAGGAAGAACACCGGUGGCGAAAGCGCUCUGCUAGGCCGCAACUGACACUGAGGGACGAAAGCUAGGGGAGCGAAAGGGAUUAGAUACCCCA